rnacentral:rRNA from 1 species
UGAUGAACUGAAACAUGAUAGUACUCAGAUCCUUUCGGGGUGAAGAGAUAGUGACUCCAAGCAUACUUCCAAGAAAAACCUCUAAGCUUCAGGUAAUAACAGCCCGUACCAUAAACCGACACAGGUAGUCGAGGAGAAUAUCCUAAGGCGCUCGAGUGAGUCAUGGCUAAGGAACUAGGCAAAUUAGUCUCGUAACUUCGGGAAAAGAGACCCCCACUUCGGUGGGGCGCAGAGAAAUGGCCCAGGCGACUGUUUAGCAAAAACACAGGACUCUGCAAAAUCGUAAGAUGACGUAUAGGGUCUGACACCUGCCCGGUGCCGGAAGGUUAAGGAAGGGGGUUAGCGCAAGCGAAGCUCUUGACUGAAGCCCCGGUAAACGGCGGCCGUAACGAUAACGGUCCUAAGGUAGCGAAAUUCCUUGUCGGGUAAGUUCCGACCUGCACGAAUGGUGUAACGAUCUGGGCACUGUCUCAGCCAUGAGCUCGGUGAAAUUGAAGUAUCGGUGAAGAUGCCGGUUACCCGCCACGGGACGAAAAGACCCCGUGCACCUUUACUAUAGCUUCACAUUGUGCUUGAAUAUAAGAUGUGUAGGAUAGGUGGGAGACUUUGAAGCGGCCACGCUAGUGGUUGUGGAGUCAACGUUGAAAUACCACCCUUCUUCUAUUUAGGUUCUAACCCCGUACCCACGGGGGACAGUGUGUGGUGGGUAGUUUGACUGGGGUGGUCGCCUCCUAAAGAGUAACGGCGGCUUGCAAAGGUGCCCUCAGCAUGGACGGUAAUCAUGCGAAGAGCGUAUUAGUAUAAGGGCGCUUGACUGAGAGAGCGACGGCUCGACCAGGUACGAAAGUAGGCUAAAGUGAUCCGGUGUUUCCGCAUGGAAGGGACAUCGCUCAAAGGAUAAAAGGUACGCCGGGGAUAACAGGCUGAUCUCCCCCAAGAGCUCAUAUCGACGGGGAGGUUUGGCACCUCGAUGUCGGUUCGUCACAUCCUGGGGCUGAAGAAGGUCCCAAGGGUUCGGCUGUUCGCCGAUUAAAGUGGCACGUGAACUGGGUUCAGAACGUCGCAAGACAGUUCGGUCUCUAUCUGUGGUGGGCGUUGUAAUAUUGAAGGGAACUGACUCUAGUACGAGAGGACCGAGUUGGACGUACCUCUAGUGUAUCUGUUGUGCCGCCAGGUGCAAUGCAGAGUAGCUAUGUACGGACUAGAUAAGCGCUGAAAGCAUCUAAGCGCGAAGCUAUCCUUAAGAUGAGUAUUACUGGGGUCGUAGAAGACGACUACGUUGAUAGGCUAUAGGUGUAAGCGUAGUAAUACGUUCAGCUGAGUAGUACUAAUUACCCCUUAGCUUCCCCU